AACGAACGCUGGCGGCAUGCCUAACACAUGCAAGUCGAACGAGACCUUCGGGUCUAGUGGCGCACGGGUGCGUAACGCGUGGGAACCUGCCUUUAGGUUCGGAAUAACUCAGAGAAAUUUGAGCUAAUACCGGAUGAUGUCUUCGGACCAAAGAUUUAUCGCCUUUAGAUGGGCCCGCGUUGGAUUAGCUAGUUGGUGGGGUAAAGGCCUACCAAGGCGACGAUCCAUAGCUGGUCUGAGAGGAUGAUCAGCCACACUGGGACUGAGACACGGCCCAGACUCCUACGGGAGGAAGCAGUGGGGAAUAUUGGAAAAUGGGCGAAAGCAUGAUCAAGCAAUGCUGCGUGAGUGAUGAAGGGAUUAGGGUUGUAAAGCUCUUUUAACAGAGAUGAUAAUGACAGUAUCGGGAGAAUAAGCUCCGGCUAACUCCGUG
rnacentral:rRNA from 1 species